UCCUCCCCCCUGACCUCCACCUUCCAGCCACUAGGACUACUCUCCCUCUCCCCCUCCCCCACCCUGACCUCCACCUUCCAGCCACUAGGACUACUCUCCCUCCUUCUUUCCCAGUCUUCCACACUCGUCAUGCUGAGCAAAGUGCAGAGCGACCACGAUUGGUUACUGUGGUCCGACCGUGCGGUUACAGCGCCCUCAGAAAGGUGACGGUGCUGUUAAACCGUAGGGGCGUGGUCUCGUACGAACAGCUUCUAUUGGACGUCUCCGAGGCGCUGGGCUUCCCUCGCUGGCACAGGGCCAGAGUCACACGCCUUUACACGCCACAUGCACGAGAGGUGCGGGGUGUGUGUGAUUUCUUCCGUGGCGAAGCGGCGUUCCUGGCGUUGGGAAAGUCUCUGAGCUCCGGAGCGUCGAGGAGGCCCUGGAGGAGCUGUUACUGCAACGACGCGCUCCGGGCCUGGGAGAGGAGGUUACGCCCUUCACCUGAUGAAGCUACCAAGGCCGACAGCGGAUACAGCGAAGGGACGGACACACACUCGCACCUCGACACGGACACACUGACAAACGGAGAUACACUUACACAAGGACGCAACCUGGACAGACACACACAUCACAAAGCAGACACACACAGGCUUAAACACCCAAACACACUGACACACUCCAAUACACACCCAAACACACGGACACACCCCAAUACACACCCAAACAGGCACUUCAUACACAACAACCCAACCAGACAGUCCAUACACCCUACUCACACACACCUGGACACGGAUGCACACACACAUACACACCCUAACACACAUUCUAAACGAAACUCCACACACCCCUCUCACCCCCCCAAUCAUCUUCAGAGGGUCAGAGUGAAAAGCGGAACUAGAGGGAGACUAUCCUCACCGAUAGGUCCACUUACCCAGGAAGAGGAGAUAGACACACCCUCUCCUCCACGCAGCAGGAACUGUAAGCUCUCUGAUCGACCCAGUCAGAGAGCAGGGAGGGCUCCACUUCCUCCCGUAACCAGGAAGCAAACAGGAAACAGACCAAAUGACCAGGAAGUAGAGAAACCUCACGUCGGUCCUGCCCGGUGCCACACUGGAUCAAUCUGUAGGAUUGAGGAGGAGUCCCUCAGCCAAUCAGAACAUUGCUCCUCAGAUUCUAAACAGGAAGAGGCUGGGACUAAACAGGAAACUAUCUUUGACCUCCCGUCUGACAAUAGUGAUGUCACUCUGUCGGAUAUUGAGUGUUACUAUGACAUCGGCCGCACGGUCGGAGACGGAAACUUUGCUGUUGUGCGCGAGUGUCGUCGGCGCAACAACGGGGAAGCCUUCGCUGUAAAGAUUGUGGAGCGCUCAAAGCUGAUUGGCCGAGAGCACAUGAUGCAGAACGAGCUGAGCAUUCUGGGUAGCUUGUCACAUCCCCGCGUGGUGCGCCUCUUCACACACCACCACACACACACACAUUCCUAUCUUGUCAUGGAGAUGGUUACCGGGGGCGACCUGUUCGAGGCGAUUGCAGAGCGUGGGAAGUUUCCGGAAGAGGAGGCGGGGCAGAUGGUGUGUGAUGUCAGUGAAGCUCUGAGAUACAUUCACAGCAAGACCAUAGUACACAGAGACCUGAAACCUGAAAACCUACUGGUGGAGUACAGUAAUGAUAGGGUCAGUAGGUUGAAGCUGGGUGAUUUUGGACUGGCCAUGGUUGUAACAGAACCCAUCUUCACUGUGUGUGGAACACCCACCUAUGUCGCCCCGGAGAUCCUCUCAGAGACAGGGUAUGGUCUGCCGGUAGACCUGUGGGCGUUGGGGGUGAUAGUCUACAUCCUGCUCUGUGGGUUCCCUCCGUUCCGGAGAAGAGACAGAGACCAAGAGGAGCUGUUCCAGCUGAUCAGAGAGGGACACCUUACCUUCCUGGCCCCUUACUGGGAUCACAUAUCUGACGCAGCACAAGGUCUGGUGAAAGCCUUGCUACAGGUGAAUCCAACAGAGAGACUGACAGCAGUGCAGACUCUGAAGCAUCCCUGGAUUCAAACCACUACAGACCAGUACAGACCAGUAAAAACCAGUACAGACCAGUACAAACCACUACAGACCAGUACAAACCAGUACAGACCAGUAAAAACCAGUACAGACCAGUACCGACCAGCACAACCCAGUAAAGAGCAGCACAGAUCACUACAGAGAGCAUCAAAAUCAUCAACCCAACUCAACUCAUCGACAGCCCCAAUCAACCAGUCGUCUGCUCCAGCAAGAGCACCCCUCAAACCCCACAUCCAAUCCCCCCAGCCCACAUCCAAUCCCCUCCUUUCACCCACCUCCCUCCAAACACCCACCCUGUCUCAGCCCACCAAACACCCACCCUAUCUCAGCCCACCAAACACCCUGUCUCAGUCCACCAAAUAGCGUGUCCCAGUCCACCAAACACCAGCAGCACCCCGCCCCACCGUUCCAGCAGUGUACCACCCCCCCCAGUAGCAGCACCCCUCCAAAUCUCCCCAGCCCCACUUCCCCUCAACCCAGCCUCCUGAUUGAUGGGGUUCCUAAUACUUUAAACACCUCUCCUCCAGGACUUGUAAAGAUCUGAUAUUCUGUACAGAAUGCCCCCCAUUGUCAUACACUGAUGUUCAGUUCCUCUUCAACUAUAUACAUAGAUGGCAGAUUGUAGUAUUUAGAUGGUAGGUUGUAGUAUUUAGAUGUAGAUGGUAGAUUGUAGUAUUUAGAUGGCAGAUUGUAGUAUUUAGAUGGCAGAUUGUAGUAUUUAGAUGUAGAUGGUAGAUUGUAGUAUUUAGAUGGUAGGUUGUAGUAUUUAGAUGUAGAUGGUGGGUUGUAGUAUUUAGAUGGUAGGUUGUAGUAUUUAGAUGUAGGUUGUAGUAUUUAGUUCAGCAGAUAACUUAAUACUUUCAAUAAAUGUUUUUUUUCUGACA
rnacentral:lncRNA from 1 species